AUUAUGUAAUAUGCCUCAGGCAGUGGCAGAAACCUAGGCUGAAAUAACCAACACUACUUGCCAAACACUUUAGAAAGAUUAUGUUUCUUCUCCAUUACAGAAGUGGAACAUAUGGUUCAGGAAUUUACCCUAAAGGCAAACUACAGAGGUUAAGCAUGUGAUGCAGGGGCCAAAAUUGUGAGUUCAAAUGCCAACAUGUUUACUUACUAACUUCAUGACCUCACAAACUUGCUUCAACUUUCUGUAACUUUGUCUGCUUAUCUAUAAAACAAUACGUACCUCAACGUCUGGUCAAAAGUUUCAAUUGGCAUAAUAUAUAUAAAGCUCUUAGAAGACUGCCUGGAACAGUUUGCACCAAGAUCCUCCCAGGAAAGUGAAGCAGAGAAAAUGGAGGUCGAAACUAUUCUCCUCAUUAAACUACCUGCCCUCUGUAAUGUAGCUCUUCUGUGCUGCAGAAAUUGAUACUACACAAGAAAAGAAAUGAUGGGAGAAUAGGGAAGAAGAGAAGAACUGGCCAGGUAGCAACAUAUAAGAGGCCAAGGGCCAGGCGCAGUGGCUCAUGCUUGUAAUCCAAACACUUUGGGAGGCCAAGGCGG
rnacentral:lncRNA from 1 species